ACCUGCCCUCAAGACUGGGAUAACUACCGGAAACGGUAGCUAAUACCGGAUAAUUUAUUUCGCAGCAUUGUGGAAUAAUGAAAGACGGAGCAAUCUGUCACUUGGGGAUGGGCCUGCGGCGCAUUAGCUAGUUGGUGGGGUAAUGGCUCACCAAGGCGACGAUGCGUAGCCGACCUGAGAGGGUGAACGGCCACACUGGGACUGAGACACGGCCCAGACUCCUACGGGAGGCAGCAGUAGGGAAUCUUCCGCAAUGGGCGAAAGCCUGACGGAGCAACGCCGCGUGAGUGAUGAAGGUUUUCGGAUCGUAAAGCUCUGUUGCCAAGGAAGAACGUCUUCUAGAGUAACUGCUAGGAGAGUGACGGUACUAGAGAAGAAAGCCCCGGCUAACUACGUGCCAGCAGCCGCGGUAAUACGUAGGGGGCAAGCGUUGUCCGGAAUUAUUGGGCGUAAAGCGCGCGCAGGCGGUUCUUUAAGUCUGGUGUUUAAACCCGAGGCUCAGCUACGGGUCGCACUGGAAACUGGGGGACUUGAGUGCAGA
rnacentral:rRNA from 2 species